rnacentral:rRNA from 1 species
GACGGGGGGGGCAAGUGUUCUUCGGAAUUACUGGGCGUAAAGAGUGCGUAGGCGGUUCGUUAUGUCUGCUGUGAAAGCCCCGGGCUUAACCUGGGAACUGCAGUGGAAACUGGCGAGCUUGAGUAUGGCAGAGGGGGGUGGAAUUCCGCGUGUAGCAGUGAAAUGCGUAGAGAUGCGGAGGAACACCGAUGGCGAAGGCAGCCCCCUGGGCUAAUACUGACGCUGAGGCACGAAAGCGUGGGGAGCAAACAGG